UACGUAGGGGGCAAGCGUUAUCCGGAUUUACUGGGUGUAAAGGGGGCGCAGACGGCAGCGCAAGCCAGGAGUGAAAGCCCGGGGCCCAACCCCGGGACUGCUCUUGGAACUGCGCGGCUGGAGUGCAGGAGGGGCAGGCGGAAUUCCUGGUGUAGCGGUGAAAUGCGUAGAUAUCAGGAGGAGCACCGGUGGCGAAGGCGGCCUGCUGGACUGCGACUGACGUUGAGGCCCGAAAGCGUGGGGAGCAAACAGG
rnacentral:rRNA from 1 species